AUUGAACGCUGGCGGCAUGCCUUACACAUGCAAGUCGAACGGUAACAGGUCUUCGGAUGCUGACGAGUGGCGAACGGGUGAGUAAUACAUCGGAACGUGCCUAGUAGUGGGGGAUAACUACUCGAAAGAGUGGCUAAUACCGCAUGAGAUCUACGGAUGAAAGCAGGGGAUCGCAAGACCUUGUGCUACUAGAGCGGCCGAUGGCAGAUUAGGUAGUUGGUGGGAUAAAAGCUUACCAAGCCGACGAUCUGUAGCUGGUCUGAGAGGACGAUCAGCCACACUGGGACUGAGAAACGGCCCAGACUCCUACGGGAGGCAGCAGUGGGGAAUUCUGGACAAUGGGCGCAAGCCUGAUCCAGCAAUGCCGCGUGCAGGAUGAAGGCCUUCGGGUUGUAGACUGCUUUUGUACGGAACGAAAAGCCCCGGGUUAAUACCCUGGGGUCAUGACGGUACCGUAAGAAUAAGCACCGGCUAACUACGUGCCAGCCGCCGCCGUAA
rnacentral:rRNA from 1 species